UGCCACUGGACUUAAUAAAAUCAUUUUAAUUCAUAUAACACAUUAAAUAAUUAUUUCACUAAUUUAACAAAACUUCAAAAAAUCAUAGAGGCUUCAUAAUUCAUCCAAUUUUUGUGAAAUUUCUUGUGCCAUGCUCAUGAGGAUGUGUAGAAUUUUAUGAUGAUUUUUGUGAAAUUUUUGCACGUGUGGAAAUUUAAUUGGCC
rnacentral:lncRNA from 1 species